rnacentral:tRNA from 1 species
GGCUUGGUGGUGUAGUGAUGUUACUUCAUGGUGCCAUCGCUGUCACGAGACGCGGGUUCGAAUCCCGCCUGAGCCG